CCUUUUGGCGGCUCGAACGGGAGGGCGCGAGCCCUGCCGGUUUCUUGCAAGAGUUUCCCGGUCUUCCAACCCGUUCGAGCUGCCGCCCUC
rnacentral:antisense_RNA from 1 species